rnacentral:rRNA from 1 species
GAUGAACGCUGGCGGCGUGCCUAAUACAUGCAAGUCGAGCGAACAGACGAGAAGCUUGCUCCUCUGACGUUAGCGGCGGACGGGUGAGUAACACGUGGAUAACCUACCUAUUAGACUGGGAUAACUUCGGGGAACCGGGCCUAAUAACGGAUCAUAUAUUGUACCGCAUGGUUCAUUAGUUAAACAGGGCUUUGCUGAUACUUAUAGCUGGAUUCGUGCUGCUUUAGCUAGUUGGUAAGGUAACGGCUUACCAAGGCGACGAUGCGUAGCCGACCUGAGAGGGUGAUCGGCCACACUGGAACUGAGACACGGUCCAGACUCCUACGGGAGGCAGCAGUAGGGAAUCUUCCGCAAUGGGCGAAAGCCUGACGGAGCAACGCCGCGUGAGUGAUGAAGGUCUUCGGAUCGUAAAACUCUGUUAUUAGGGAAGAACAAAUGUGUAAGUAACUAUGCACGUCUUGACGGUACCUAAUCAGAAAGCCACGGCUAACUACGUG